rnacentral:rRNA from 1 species
GAUGAACGCUGGCGGCGUGCCUAAUACAUGCAAGUCGAGCGAAGCGGGGACGGGUGAGUAACAUGUGGAUAACCUCCUAUAAGACUGGGAUAACUUCGGGAAACCGGAGCUAAACCGGUUACUAAUCGAUGGAUCUGCGCUGCUUUGUCUAGUUGGUAAGCUAACGGCUUACCAAGGCAACGAUGCAUAGCCGGCCUGAGAGGGUGAUCGGCCACACUGGGACUGAGACACGGUCCAGACUCCUACGGGAGGCAGCAGGAGGGAAUCUUCCGCAAUGGGCGAAAGCCUGACGGAGCAACGCCGCGUGGUUGAUGAAGGUCUUCGGGGCGUAAAACUCUGUUAUUAGGGAAGCGGUACCUAAUCAAAAAGCCACGGCUAAAUACGUGCCAGCAGCCGCGGUAAUUC